AAGAAUGUAGUUAUUUUAUAACAGUUGAUUUGCAAUCAAAAAGUAUUAUUUUUUUUAAUCUUUCUUA
rnacentral:tRNA from 1 species